CUAGAAGCUCUUCCCCCGCACCUCUACAAACACAAAAAUACAGCCACCCUUCUAGAUUCACAACAAAUAUCCUAUUAAUUAUUAAAUUAAUUAAACCCCAUCAUUGGUUUUUCAUUUUGCUUAUAUUCACCCCCUUCUGAUUGCCUCUUCACCAAUUUAUAUUUUCCAAAAUACCUCACUCUAAACACAGGGAAAGAUGAAUAAGUUCCUGGCUUUCCUGCUCAUGUUGCUUGUAAUCUCAACAUCCCAGGCCGCAAGGCCACUUUCCGCUCUAUCUGUUCAACAAAGAUAUUCCAAGAUUUUUGCCACUCUUGGAGUUGUUUGCAAAUGUUGCGAUGGAAGUGGAGGUGAAUGCUCCAGUACUUGGACCCAACCCUGCUCUCAGCCUCACCUCAAGUGCCUACCUUGGAAACUACAUUAGGAUUUUUGCCCCAACAUAACUUUUUUCUCUUUUUUCUAAUCUUUUUUGUUCUAUGUAUAUAUAUAUAUAUAUAUAUAUAUAUCUACACUAAUGGAGUUAUUGAAACUUAA